rnacentral:tRNA from 1 species
CGAGGGGUAGUUUAAUUAAAAUACUAGCAUUGGAAGUUAGCGAUUAGGGUGGGUCCCUAUCUUUUGA